rnacentral:rRNA from 1 species
UACGGGGGGGAGCAAGCGUUGUUCGGAUUUACUGGGCGUAAAGGGUGCGUAGGCGGGUCUUUUAAGUCAGGGGUGAAAUCCUGGAGCUCAACUCCAGAACUGCCUUUGAUACUGAGGAUCUUGAGUUCGGGAGAGGUGAGUGGAACUGCGAGUGUAGAGGUGAAAUUCGUAGAUAUUCGCAAGAACACCAGUGGCGAAGGCGGGACUCUGGGCCGAUACUGACGCUGAGGCGCGAAAGCCAGGGGAGCGGAACGGGAUUAAGAAACCC